GGGCCCAUAGCUCAGCCAGGUUGAGUGCUGGGCUCCAGAUAACAUUGGGUCUGAAGACCCCUAAAGGGGAAUGAAUUAUAUCUGGAACGGAGAGACCCAGUGGUCGGGGGUUCAAAUCCCUCUGGGCCCA
rnacentral:tRNA from 1 species